AUGAUGGUCGAAUCAGAUGUUCGUGGCUACCUUUAUGAGCCGCUAUAUAGCGAGCAGCGGCUGAGGCUUCUGCAGCCGAGGCAGAGGACCUGCCUGUCGCGGACGAGGAGCCCGGACUGGCUCGAGCUGGGGCGGACUGCUGGUGCCUGUGCUCUCGCUGUGCGCCUACGGACACACGGACGUCUGACUGUAAAACAAUAUCGCCUAACAGCCUUUCUGGAAUGGGUCCUGCAAGGCGAGAGAUUGGGUCGAGGCCAUCGUGUCGUUUUACCCGCUGAUGUGGUUCCAGAUGGCCAGUACUGCGGCACCGAGACGUUGAGGACGCUCAGGAGGAACUAUAACUGUCAUUGUUAACAUUUAUUUUUGUUGUUGUUGAUAUAUUUCUGUAAAUAAAUGGUUUACAUUCACGUUGUUGUAGUCUUUGAUAGUGUUAGUGGGAGCGGCUUGCGGAGCUGUGCAUUGUGGGAGAUGAUGUCUUUAAUACAAAUGCGCCCUAAAGUCACUUUCUGUCUUUUCUCGGUCAAAUAGGCACCAAAUUCAAAAUGUAUGUUACAUUUAGACUACAUAUAUAACCCACUUUCAAUAAAUAUUAAUGUUUCCACAGGUGAAAUGCUCCUUUAAACCAGUCUUAGUCAGCAGGGUUGGAGGUACUGGGAGCUGUGGUUGCGAAGGUUGGAGGUACUGGGAGCUGAGGUUGGAGGUACUGGGAGCUGUGGUAACAACGUUAGUCCCUCUGAAAUUGAUAAUCUUGUUGAUAGUGCUGCAGGCUCACUACGAUCAACAUUAGACUCUAUCGCUCCUAUAAAAAGGAAAUUAUUAAAACAUAGGAGACUAGCACCUUGGUACAACCACCAAACCCACCAGUUAAAGCAAAUAGCUAGGAAAUCUGAAAGGAAAUGGCGCUCUUCCAAAUUAUCAGAACAUCGCUCAAUUUGGCAAGAUAAUCUUAAAACUUAUAGAAAGGCCCUCCGUAAUGCCAGAGGAGCCUAUUACUCAGCACUAAUAGAAGAAAAUAAGAAUAACCCUAGGUUCCUCUUCAGCACUGUAGCCAGGCUGACAGAGAGUCACAGCUCUAUUGAGCCACAUAUCCCCAUAA
rnacentral:lncRNA from 1 species